rnacentral:rRNA from 1 species
CCUACGGGAGGCAGCAGUGGGGAAUUUUGGACAAUGGGCGCAAGCCUGAUCCAGCCAUGCCGCGUGUGGGAAGAAGGCCUUCGGGUUGUAAACCACUUUUGUCAGGGAAGAAACGGUCUUUUCUAAUACAGAGGGCUAAUGACGGUACCUGAAGAAUAAGCACCGGCUAACUACGUGCCAGCAGCCGCGGUAAUACGUAGGGUGCAAGCGUUAAUCGGAAUUACUGGGCGUAAAGCGUGCGCAGGCGGCUUUGCAAGACAGGUGUGAAAUCCCCGGGCUCAACCUGGGAACUGCAUUUGUGACUGCAUGGCUAGAGUACGGUAGAGGGGGAUGGAAUUCCGCGUGUAGCAGUGAAAUGCGUAGAUAUGCGGAGGAACACCGAUGGCGAAGGCAAUCCCCUGGACCUGUACUGACGCUCAUGCACGAAAGCGUGGGGAGCAAACAGGAUUAGAUACCCUGGUAGUCCACGCCCUAAACGAUGUCAACUGGUUGUUGGACGGCUUGCUGUUCAGUAACGAAGCUAACGCGUGAAGUUGACCGCCUGGGGAGUACGGCCGCAAGGUUGAAACUUAAAGGAAUUGACGG